rnacentral:rRNA from 1 species
AGAGGGUGACACUCCCGUCCGCCUGGCAGAGUGAGUCAUUUGUCAACGAGUCGAGUUGUCUGGGAUUGCAGCUCUAAUUUGGUGGUAAAUUCCAUCUAAAGCUAAAUAUUGGUGGGAGACCGAUAGCGUACAAGUACCGUGAGGGAAAGAUAGCAAAGAAACUUUGAAAAAGAGAGUUGAAGAGUACCUGAAACUGCUGAAACGGAAGCGAAGGAAACCUAGUGUUUGUUUGUUCAUAGUUUCCCUAGCCACUUGUGGCUUGGGCGCUGUGGGCUUGCGUGAGUUUGGGUGUUGAUUCUUGGAAGAGCGCAGUCAGAGUUGAUGUCU